AGAGUUUGAUCCUGGCUCAGAACGAACGCUGGCGGCAGGCUUAACACAUGCAAGUCGAACGCUCACUUAGGUGAGAGUGGCAGACGGGUGAGUAACGCGUGGGAAUAUACCUAUUGGUAGGGAACAACAGUUGGAAACGACUGCUAAUGCCUUAUACGCCCCUUUAUUGGGGGAAAGAUUUAUCGCCAAUAGAUUAGCCCGCGUUAGAUUAGCUAGUUGGUAAGGUAACGGCUUACCAAGGCGACGAUCUAUAGCUGGUCUGAGAGGAUGAUCAGCCACACUGGAACUGAGACACGGUCCAGACUCCUACGGGAGGCAGCAGUGGGGAAUAUUGGACAAUGGGCGCAAGCCUGAUCCAGCCAUGCCGCGUGAGUGAUGAAGGCCUUAGGGUUGUAAAGCUCUUUCAACGGUGAAGAUAAUGACGGUAACCGUAGAAGAAGCCCCGGCUAACUUCGUGCCAGCAGCCGCGGUAAUACGAAGGGGGCUAGCGUUGUUCGGAAUCACUGGGCGUAAAGCGCACGUAGGCGGAUUGUUAAGUUAGAGGUGAAAUCCCAAGGCUCAACCUUGGAACUGCCUUUAAUACUGGCAAUCUAGAGAUCGAGAGAGGUGAGUGGAAUUCCUAGUGUAGAGGUGAAAUUCGUAGAUAUUAGGAAGAACACCAGUGGCGAAGGCGGCUCACUGGCUCGAUACUUGACGCUGAGGUGCNAAAGCGUGGUGAGCAAACAGGAUUA
rnacentral:rRNA from 1 species